AGAGCGAACGCUGGCGGCAGGCCUAACACAUGCAAGUCGAGCGCCCCGCAGGGGGAGCGGCAGACGGGAGAGUAACACGUGGGAACGUACCCUUCAGUUCGGAACAACCCAGGGAAACUUGGGCUAAUACCGAAUACGUCCGUAAGGAGAAAGAUUUAUCGCUGAAGGAUCGGCCCGCGUCUGAUUAGCUUGUUGGUGAGGUAACGGCUCACCAAGGCGACGAUCAGUAGCUGGUCUGAGAGGAUGAUCAGCCUCACUGGGACUGAGACACGGCCCAGACUCCUACGGGAGGCAGCAGUGGGGAAUAUGGACAAUGGGCGCAAGCCUGAUCCAGCCAUGCCGCGUGGGUGAUGAAGGCCCUAGGGUUGUAAAGCCCUUUCGGCGGGGAAGAUAAUGACGGUACCGCAGAAGAAGCCCGGCUAACUUCGUGCCAGCAGCCGC
rnacentral:rRNA from 1 species